GAGAACCGUAUCUGCAAACUUGUUUCACUUUUUAAAAAGUGGGCCUUUUCUUGAUCAGAAAAUAGCUUUCAGAGGCAAGUUUCUCCCUGUGAAGGAAACCCAUUCUGUGCAAAUGAUCAUUUCUGCAAAAUUGCCCUGGGCUGGUCCUUAGCCAGUCUGCCUGAGUUGACCUGAAUGCCUGCUGAGUCUGAGCUGGGGGCCUUAGGGGUUUGCUCAUCAAGGAGCUUACAAGUGAGUGGGUGGGUGUGGGUACAGAGGGACACUUGGGACCAGGCGGUGCCCUUGCCACACCCACCUAAUUUGCAGGGCGAGGGAAGAGCAGGGUGGGCCAGGAGAGGGAGGAAGGGAGGGAGGGAGAAGGGCUGGAGUAGAGUGCGCCUGGGAACUGGCACGGAGGGGACCGGGCCAAGCAAGCAGUGCCCCUCCAUCAGAGGAGAGCCAGGGAGCCCUUUGGGUGAGGUCGUCUUGGGAUCCCUACUGCCUUCUGGACUUUAUGGAUCUAAAAAGGCUAAGUAUGUGUUGAUGAUCGUGUGUGUGUGUGUGUGUGUGUGUGUGUGUGUGUGUGUUGCUUGUUUUGGGGGAGGGGGAAGUAAGCUCCUCUGGGUUCAUCUGGGGGUGGGGGACAGCCUGCAGUAACUCAAGAAAUGCCUUCUGUGGCAAAGUCCUCUAGGUCAUCAGUGGAGAUGAUGCCCAGGCCUGGAGCUUCUACACCCUCCUCUCCUGGGCUCUGGGGAGGACCAUGAGGGCGCUGGCCUGCAGAGUGCGGGGUGCAGUCACCGUGUGGACAAAAAGUGACUCUUGAAACCUGGUGUUUGCUCUUCCCAACAGUUUUCGGGCUGCCAUGGGGGUGGCUGGUCUUCUAUGUCACCCUCGGGUAAAGCAAUGGUGGGGAUGUGCCAUGGGGCUGCCAGCUUCCCUGAGUCUGCAGAACCGCUCUUGCAAUUGCUUGCCACGAGGCCAGGUGCAGCAUCUGGUGGUGCCUUCACCCGGUCCCCCUCUCCCACCAGAGGCAUAGAUGGGAAAUUCCCCUUUGGGGCUGGCUGAGAGGCCUCCAUCCUGGCCAUGCUCGACCCCUGCCCAGGGUCCUCCAUGACCUCGUUGGCCAUGCACUUCACACGUGUGCCCCGUGUGUUAGUGGGUGUCGAUGUACCAAGAAUGUCCUGGUUUUCGGGGGCACAAAACCCAGGAUCCUCACCCCAUUCUGGCCUUGGCAAUUCCUCCUCUUUGUGGCCACUGCUGAGGGAGUCCUCCAAGGACAUGGUCCUCAGGAGAGGCAGCAUGAUAGGUUUAAUUACGGGGGUAGCUCUGAGGGUGUUGUCUUUAAUCGUAAACAGCAUGUGCCUGUUUGAAGCAGAAGAUGGUGAGGGAGUAAGGUCUUUGGCCUGUGAAAAGGUUGUGCCCUUAUUUUCCCCAAUCCAAGAGCCUCUGAAAUUAGCUUCCUCUGCUGAUGCCUUCCUGGUUCUUCCUCCAGACACACUUUCCCUUUCUCUUUGCAAUGCUUCCCCCUGGCUGCGGUUUUCCAGGCAUGCGUGCCCAUUGCUUAAGGCACAGUACUGCAGCUCAUCCUUCCGCAUCACAUUCUCCUUCUCAUCCUUCUGACUGUCACCUGCACUCACAUCCUUCCUCCUGUCUUCCCGCUGGUUCUCAGUAAACCACAUCUUCUGCUGAUCAUCAAAUGAGGCAAAGGAUUGAUCUGAAGAGCUGGUGCUGAAUUUGGCCUUACCUUUGAGGCUUGGCAUAAAAUCGGAUUGGCUGUCACUGUAAAACACAUCUUCCUCCUCAGGAGAGAGGGGCCCUGGGAAGAAUUUCUGGUUCAAAUGUGUGUUCUGAAGUCCUGCUUCCCUCUCAGGUUCUGUCUCUUGGGACACAGAUCUGGAGAGCCCAUUCUCUAGCUGGUGGGUCUUCAUUUUCUCUGUAGCCCCUCCAGGCUCAGGAUCCCUAUUGCAAAGCCUCAGGGAGAGGUGUUUCCUGGGGCGGUGUUCCCUGGAGUCUGCAGAGGGCUCACUGGGGUCAGCUGUAGGGUCCUUCUGGGGAUUGAUGUGUGAUGCAGUGGGGUCAUCAGCGGGUCUCUCCUUAGAAAGCUCAUUUGGAGGGCUUUCCUCAAGC
rnacentral:lncRNA from 1 species